rnacentral:lncRNA from 1 species
GCAUUGGGAAAGCCUGCCCAGUCAGGUCCUCCACCUUCUUCAGCUCCCCGUUGGCCAGCUGGAUGAUGGAGCCUUUCAUGAAAUAUGGCGGCAGCGUGGGAGACGCCGUGGUGGGGGACGCCACGGACUGCACCACCGGCAGGUGGAUCUGGGCCUGCACCAUGGCUGGGUAGGCAGCCUGGGUGACCAGAGCCUCUGGGUUGAAGUUCUCGCUCUUGGGCAGGGCGGUGGUGACAAACGUGUGAGGUACUGCAGCAAACUGGGGUGAUGACGUCACGAUGGCCGAGGCUGCCCCAGGCGUGUCCAUGUCAGGGCUGCCCACCGGGAUGAGCAGGGGCUGGUUACCUGGGAUCACCAGGUGCUGCGGCAGACCACCAGCAUAGGUGAUUGCUUGCUGCUGGCCGCUCAGGUAGCCGAUGACAGGAGGUUGAGUGCCAGCGUAGAAGGCCGUGGCUGGUAGGCCCACCGGGAGAGGCUCUGAUGCACUGUGUGUGGUCUGAAUGACCGUGUGGGGGGACAGCGCAUAAGACCUGUGGCCCGGCUUCCCUAGGUGCAGGCCGCUCUUGUCAUUGAGGGUGGAUGGGGAGGCCUCUCGAUGCGUGGUCUGCUGGGCCUCCAGGUCGGCUGAGGGUGUGCUGCUAUUAGGCAGAACCAUCACAGAUCCACGGACCCCGGAGGUAUCACGACUGCUGUAGUCUGCUGGGCUUGGGUGGACCACCACAUGCCUGGACUCAUAGGGAUGAGGCACUGACUUACUGCUUGCCUUGCCUAGGCUCAGCUCCACAGAAGAUGAUGCCCCAUACCUCCGGCUUUUCUCCAUCUCCCCAUUCAGGACUUCCUUGGCUUGCAUAGCCUGCUGCAACCUGCUGCUCUCGGCUUUUUUGGUGGACUCUCGAGGAACAAAGUGGCCUCCGGCAUCACUAUAUUGCACAACCACCUGGGAUGAAGGCCCCAGGGUGAGUGUGUGCGGGAUCAUCG